rnacentral:tRNA from 1 species
GCGGGAGUGGUGGAAUCGGUAGACACGCCAUCUUGAGGGGGUGGUGCCCACAAAGCGUGCGGGUUCAAAUCCCGCCUCCCGCA